ACCAUUCUCCCAUUUCCCCCCAAAAUCAUUCCCCUUGCCUAUCCCAAACCCCACGAUGCCGCCACCACCAGAACCUGCAGUCACCUCCUUGCCGCUCCACAACCUCCGCUGCACCUGGGUAGUUUCGUCUUCGGGUAGUUUUGUUUUCUAUUUAUCUGUUGAUUGUUUAUAUAUUUCUAUUCUGCUUGUUUAGGUUGCCGAUUUCAUGCUUAGUUUAUGUUGAAUAAUCUGCUAAUUACUUGUUAAAGGUGUUAAGAUUUUGAUUGAACAAAUAAAUUGGAGCAAUUAAGUUAGCACCAGGCAUCAUCUCUCCGAAUCACCUCUUCAGCGCCGUCGGACCACUAGGGUGUAUCUUUUGCUCUGGAGUCGGUUUUGUGUCCAUCACCUGCUCGGGUUGUGGUCGCGAUUUGUCAGCGUUUGUCAAGUGGGUCAUACUAUGACUGCGACUCUGGGUCCCGAUUUGUCUGAGCUUUACAAGUACACAGUAGAGGCGGCGACUGUGACUGCAUAUCUCCAUUAUCUACAAUGUUGAGCCUUCAGAAGCUGAUUAAUGAUGGGAUCAUUGACAAUGGUGGUACGAAAAUAAAGUAGUUUUGAUUAAAGUAGUGUUGCACGAGAGCCGGGCUGAGAUUGAGCUUGGCACAUUAACUUUAGGCUAAGAUCAAGCUCGGCUCAAAAGCUAAAGGCUCCACAAAACUCAAUAAGAGCUCGAGCCAAGCUCUCGUAAACAACAGAUGUGCAAUUAAAAAGGCGGGCGGCUAAUUAAACAGAGGUCAGACGUGCGACGGCGUUGAUUGAGUAAUCCGAUGAUGGAAUCAUUCACAACUAGAGCCGUAAGGCGGACUUUAGGGAUUUCAGAUUUGGGGGCAUCUCAAUCUCAAUUGAAGAUCAAGGCAAAGAUGCGACAAAUGAGUUUGAAGACGCAGGCCACAGCAAGAGUGCAAGGGAACUUAUGGAGACUUUCUGUGUUGGUGAGCUGGACCCGUCGGACAUCCCUCAACUUGAAGUUGUCUCGGUGAAACAAAAAAAGUUACAUCCCUGAGAAGCUGGUUAACCUAAGCAAGCAAUACUCGGCGGCUCCAGUGGCAGUUGUCGGCAUAUCGGUUGUUGUCACCUUCUUGUACUUACGCAACAAGUAGAGCAUGAAAUUUUGAGUAUUCGGUUCAUAGAACUGGCUUAAAAUGUCAUUGAAUUUUUAAACCUAUGAUUUGGGUAAAGAUAUUCGAUAUAUGAUGCACAUU